rnacentral:rRNA from 1 species
UACAGAGGUCUCAAGCGUUGUUCGGAUUCAUUGGGCGUAAAGGGUGCGUAGGCGGCGCGGUAAGUCGGGUGUGAAAUCUCGGAGCUUAACUCCGAAACUGCAUUCGAUACUGCCGUGCUUGAGGACUGGAGAGGAGACUGGAAUUUACGGUGUAGCGGUGAAAUGCGUAGAUAUCGUAAGGAACACCGGUGGCGAAGGCGGCAUCCUGGACCAACACUGACGCUGAGGAGCGAAGGCCAGGGGAGCAAACGGG